UCAUGUGAGCCACUUACUCCUCCAGAUACUUCCACCAUGCUGAUUAUGCCUGGAGCAGGCUGACUGUGCAAGGACUGAAACUUCUGAAAUGAAUGAAGACUUUCUAUGGAAAUGAAUUGGAAAUCUGUUUGCAUCAAUCUUCUAAAAGGACUGAGUGAAAAAGAAUCCUGAGAGGGAAUAGAUUUUAGAAAGCAAAUACUCAGCAGAAGAUCACAUUAAAAUGGCAAUAACACCACUGGAUAAAUGAAA